ensembl:lncRNA
UUAGAAACUCGAAAGCUAACUUGCUCUUUGCAUAGUGUAGCGAUUUACGUGUUUUUUCCAAGAUGUAGCGUGGAAAGUUGUUUUUUGUUGUUGUUUUGUUCUUUCUUGUUUUGUUCCAUCAGCUUUUAAACGACAAAUUGUUUUAAUGCGGAAAACAAUCGCAGUAGGCCGAACAUGGUGAGGAUGUCGGCGUUAAUGGUGUGGCUGCAGGUAUUUUCUGUGCCACAGAGAGUGCGCUAUACCGUGUUCUCUCUCCUGGUAUGUGUGCUCCAGCUGGCUCUGCUCGUCUCUGACGCCAUUAUGGACUUCUUCAUUCAUGAAUUCCCCCCCUGGAGAACCCACAUACAUUUCAUAUUGGUGCUACAGGUGGUGAGCUUCUACUGGUCUGUGCUGGGCUCAGUGUAUGCGCUGCUGGUACAGGACAACAAAGCAGCCUACAUCGCACUGCUGUCUGUCUCACUGAACUUGGGCUCCUUCAUCUCCCGGUUCUGCUAUGAGAUCAUGAGGAUGAGAAGGAGAUGAGUUCUAGAAGAUUUUCUCCGUUUACCCCCACUGGAUUACAGAUUAUUUCCUUGUCUCCCGACUACUCAACCUUGGACUGUAGUAUGGAUUACGAUUUGGGAUUUGCUCAAAAUAAACGUUGCA